rnacentral:rRNA from 1 species
UACAGAGGUUGCGAACGUUGCUCGGAAUCACUGGGCGUAAAGCGCGUGUAGGCGGACCAGAAAGUCAGGUGUGAAAUCCCUGGGCUCAACCUAGGAACUGCAUCUGAAACUUCUGGUCUGGAGUGUCGGAGAGGGAAGCGGAAUUCCGGGUGUAGAGGUGAAAUUCGUAGAUAUCCGGAGGAACACCGGUGGCGAAGGCGGCUUCCUGGACGAUUACUGACGCUGAGACGCGAAAGCGUGGGGAGCAAACAGG